UCCGGUGCCUCUAGCGAUAGGGCCACACCUGAUUCCAUACCGAACUCAGUAGUUAAGCCUGUCAGCGCUGAUGAUAUCUGGGCUUUACGCCUAGGGAAAGUAAGCCGGUGCCGGGA
rnacentral:rRNA from 1 species